rnacentral:rRNA from 2 species
UUGACCUCAAAUCGGGUGAGACUACCCGCUGAACUUAAGCAUAUCAAUAAGCGGAGGAAAAGAAACUAACAAGGAUUCCCCUAGUAACUGCGAGUGAAGCGGGAAAAGCUCAAAUUUAAAAUCUGUUGGUCUUUGGCCAUCCGAGUUGUAAUUUAGAGAAGCGUUUUCCGCGCUGGACCGUGCACAAGUCUCCUGGAAUGGAGCGUCAUAGAGGGUGAGAAUCCCGUCUUUGGCACGGACACACCAGGGCUUUUGUGAUGCGCUCUCGAAGAGUCGAGUUGUUUGGGAAUGCAGCUCAAAAUGGGUGGUGAACUCCAUCUAAAGCUAAAUAUUGGCGAGAGACCGAUAGCGAACAAGUACCGUGAGGGAAAGAUGAAAAGCACUUUGGAAAGAGAGUGAAACAGUACGUGAAAUUGUUGAAAGGGAAACGCUUGAAGUCAGUCGCGUCGACCGAGACUCAGCCUUGCCUUGGCUUGGUGUACUUCUCGGCUGACGGGUCAGCAUCAAUUUUGCCCCUUGGAUAAUGGCGAGGGAAAUGUGACACCUUUAUGGUGUGUUAUAGUCCCUUGUCGCAUGCAAGGGUUGGGAUUGAGGAACUCAGCACGCACCUUUGGGUGUCGGGGCUUUGCCC